rnacentral:lncRNA from 1 species
GUGAAUUUAUAAAAAUCAAUGAAAAUGUUUUGUAAAAGAAUAAAUGUAAUUUUCUAAAUAUGUUAAGUAAAAACCAUGUAGAAGUAUAGACAACAUUAAAUUGCCGAUAAAAUCUAAAAGUGUUAACAAAUACAAAGAAAAUCUGCCUGAAGGUAGCUUUAUCUGAUGCAAAGAGAGAAUACUAUAAAACAGUGAGGUUACAAAUGAUCUAUAGGGACCUAGUUGUGCAAUAGCAAGAUGCAAAGCAGUUCAUUGAUAUGGUAGAAAAAUGGGGAAACUAUGAAGAAAAAAUAUAUACAAAAAAUUAGGUGGAUAUUUAAGCAGUAUCACAAGAAAAACACAAGUGGAAGUACACAAAGCAAUGACCAUACUGGGAAACAUAACAUUACUACCAUAUGCCAAGGAACUAAUUAAUAAAGGAUCAGCAUGCACAGUACUCAAAAGAACUGGCACCGUUAGAUGAGAUACCAAUCGUGGAGGAUAUACUAACCAAUUUAGGUGACCAGAAACUUGACAAACGUAGAUUAAUCUGGAAAUACAUUUGGGAGAGGACUAGACAAACUAGCUGUAAGGGACAACAGGCCUAAAGCACCUUUUAAAACAGACACUACAAUGGAUCAAGGAAAAUGACUAUACUGUAACAAGAGAAGACAAAACAAGAGUUAAAUGGUUCUCCUAGAAAGGCAAAAGUAUGAUAGCUUCCUGCAAGAUUAUAUAGACACAACACAACUGAAGCUCUUUAGUAAAGCAACUAUGCAACUAAAAGUGGUUCUGGAUAGAAUUGUAGGGCAUAAAUUGUUCCUGGAAAUAUGGAAGCACUCAAAGCUAGCAACAUCAGCAUGCCCCAGGCUUUUUGCCUAUAUAAAGACACACAAAAACCCAGUAUUACCAAGACCCU